GACGAACGCUGGCGGCGUGCUUAACACAUGCAAGUCGAACGAUGAACCACUUCGGUGGGGAUUAGUGGCGAACGGGUGAGUAACACGUGGGCAAUCUGCCCUUCACUCUGGGACAAGCCCUGGAAACGGGGUCUAAUACCGGAUAACACUGCCACGGGCAUCUGUGGUGGUUAAAAGCUCCGGCGGUGAAGGAUGAGCCCGCGGCCUAUCAGCUUGUUGGUGAGGUAAUGGCNCACCAAGGCGACGACGGGUAGCCGGCCUGAGAGGGCGACCGGCCACACUGGGACUGAGACACGGCCCAGACUCCUACGGGAGGCAGCAGUGGGGAAUAUUGCACAAUGGGCGAAAGCCUGAUGCAGCGACGCCGCGUGAGGGAUGACGGCCUCGG
rnacentral:rRNA from 1 species